UGGCAAUGAUGUUUGAAUUUCUUCAGCUGAAUCUCUAUGUGGCUAUAUGAGCUUUUUAACCCUGAGCAGA